rnacentral:rRNA from 1 species
CCUACGGGAGGCAGCAGUGGGGAAUAUUGGACAAUGGGGGCAACCCUGAUCCAGCCAUGCCGCGUGAGUGAUGAAGGCCCUAGGGUUGUAAAGCUCUUUCGGCGGGGACGAUAAUGACGGUACCCGCAGAAGAAGCCCCGGCUAACUUCGUGCCAGCAGCCGCGGUAAUACGAAGGGGGCUAGCGUUGCUCGGAAUCACUGGGCGUAAAGCGCACGUAGGCGGAUCUUUAAGUCAGGGGUGAAAUCCCAAGGCUCAACCUUGGAACUGCCUUUGAUACUGGGGAUCUCGAGUCCGGAAGAGGUGAGUGGAACUGCGAGUGUAGAGGUGAAAUUCGUAGAUAUUCGCAAGAACACCAGUGGCGAAGGCGGCUCACUGGUCCGGCACUGACGCUGAGGUGCGAAAGCGUGGGGAGCGAACAGGAUUAGAUACCCUGGUAGUCCACGCCGUAAACGAUGGAUGCUAGCCGUUGGACAGCUGCUGUUCAGUGGCGCAGGUAACCCUUUAAGCNCUCCGCCGUGGGUAGGUACGGUCGCGAGAAGUUAAACGUUAAAGGUAAAGUUAGUAACGGUCGUGAGACGUGCCGACGGACGACGACGAGGGGAGGUUAGG